GGCGUAUUUCGCCCAGGCGGAGCUCGACCGCCGCUUCAAGCCAUGACGGGCUUCGUGGCCGACAGCGCCACGCCUACGGAGUCGAGCCGAUCUGCCGGGUGCUGGAGAUCGCUCCG
rfam:Luteimonas sp. FCS-9 scf7180000000225, whole genome shotgun sequence.